rnacentral:misc_RNA from 1 species
AGUGAACUUAUUGAACGUUUUGGAUCGCUUGUCAGAAUUCCUCUACUGAAACCUGAAAGGUCUCCUCUUCCGGAUUCUGUGAGGUCUAUUGUUGAGGAGGGAAUCAAUCUGUACAGGCUUCAUACUAACAAACAUGGAAGAUUGGAGUCUACAAAAGGGACUUUUGUAAAAGAGUGGGUUAAAUGGGAGAAGCAAUUGAGGGAUAUUCUACAUGGAAAUGCGGACUAUCUCAAUUCAAUACAGGUUCCAUUUGAAUUUGCUGUUAAAAAAGUCCUUGAACAACUGAAAGCUAUUGCGAGGGGAGAAUAUGCAGCUCCUUCUUCUGAGAAGAGGAAGCUAGGAUCCAUUGUGUUUGCCGCUAUCAGCCUGCCAGUUUCAGAAAUUCUAGGUCUUCUGAAUGAUCUAGCCAAGAAAGAUCCGAAGGUUGGUGAUUUCUUGAAGGACAAAAGCCUGGAGAGCUGCAUUCAGAAGGCCCAUUUGACCCUAGCUCACAAGAGAAGUCAUGGUGUCACUGCGGUUGCCAAUUACGGUUCCUUUCUUCACCAAAACGUCCCAGUAGACGUGGCUGCUUUGUUGUUCUCCGAUAAAUUGGCUGCCCUAGAAGCUGAGCCUGGUUCUGUCGAAGGUGAAAAGGUCAAUUCUAAAAACCCAUGGCCCCACGUCACAAUAUGGACUGGGGCAGGAGCUACAGCCAAAGAUGCCAAUACACUACCACAGUUACUUUCUCAAGGGAAGGCUAUCCGCAUUGAGAUAAAUCCACCCGUCACUAUAACUGGCACUCUCGAAUUCUUUUGAACUCUACAUGUAAUUCCUCAUCUUGUGUGGAUUUACCUAAUGUAAACCCUACAUGGGUUCUGAGUGAAUAUCAUGUAAUGACACUCCUGAGUUGUAGGAACAAUUUUGUAGGAUCGUGCGCUUUGGCUAUAUAGUAGUCUUGCAGUUGCAGGAUAGAAAUAGAUUUAGAGAAAAUGUAA